rnacentral:rRNA from 1 species
GACGAACGCUGGCGGCGUGCCUAAUACAUGCAAGUUGAGCGCUGAAGGUUGGUACUUGUACCAACUGGAUGAGCAGCGAACGGGUGAGUAACGCGUGGGGAAUCUGCCUUUGAGCGGGGGACAACAUUUGGAAACGAAUGCUAAUACCGCAUAAAAACUUUAAACACAAGUUUUAAGUUUGAAAGAUGCAAUUGCAUCACUCAAAGAUGAUCCCGCGUUGUAUUAGCUAGUUGGUGAGGUAAAGGCUCACCAGGGCGAUGAUACAUAGCCGACCUGAGAGGGUGAUCGGCCACAUUGGGACUGAGACACGGCCCAAACUCCUACGGGAGGCAGCAGUAGGGAAUCUUCGGCAAUGGACGAAAGUCUGACCGAGCAACGCCGCGUGAGUGAAGAAGGUUGUCGGAUCGUAAAACUCUGUUGGUAGAGAAGAACGUUGGUGAGAGUGGAAAGCUCAUCAAGUGACGGUAACUACCCAGAAAGGGACGGCUAACUACGUG